GAUGAAGAACGUAGCGAAAUGCGAUAAGUAAUGUGAAUUGCAGAAUUCAGUGAAUCAUCGAAUCUUUGAACGCACAUUGCGCCCCCUGGUAUUCCGGGGGGCAUGCCUGUCCGAGCGUCAUUACAACCCUCAAGCUCAGCUUGGUGUUGGGCCCCGCCGCCCCUGCGGGCCCUAAAGUCAGUGGCGGUGCCGUCCGGCUCCGAGCGUAGUAAUUCUUCUCGCUCUGGAGGUCCGGUCGUGUGCUCGCCAGCAACCCCCAAUUUUUUUCAGGUUGACCUCGGAUCAGGUAGGGAUACCCGCUGAACUUAAGCAUAUCAAUAAGCGGAGGA
rnacentral:misc_RNA from 1 species